rnacentral:lncRNA from 1 species
GCACCACGAAAACAAAACCAACAACGAUAGCAACAAUGAUCAAUUAAUCAAACACCUUAAGCCCAAAAAAAAUUAUAUAAUAGACACAAAAUCAAAUUAAUCAAACUCUAGAGCCCAAAUUGUACUUCUCAAUAAUCAGAAAACCCACAUCAAAAUUGAUGUGACAAACUAGAAAAACAAAACAUGGGGCUUUUCUUAUUUGCGCAUAACCAGGAAAAAAAAGAGAAACAAAAAUCCAAUAAAAAGCUCUCUGUAGACUUGGGGUUAAUCUUGUUUGACCUUAAUCAGACAAAAAAAAGAACCUAAAUCAGAAAUAAAAUCUCAUUUAGAAAUGGGAUUAUCUUUUUUGAGUUCUAAAAAAUUAAAAUAAAUUACAAAUGACACACCCUACCUUUGUCUGAGCGAUUAGCUUGCAGCAAUGGCCAUAUGAGGGGAGUAGACCUGACCUGACGUGAGGUGACGUGAGGCGAGGCGAGGCGAGGCGAGGAGUUGCUGGAGGGCUGGGAACUUCGUUGGGGCAUGUGGCGACGGAAAUUGUUCCUCUCUGUCACUGUAAACGCAUCAAAUGAUUGAAUGCACUGGCAUGAUCACACUGUCUAUUUAAUCGCUCCAGUAAAACCUUAAUUACCAAUAAUGGCGAGACUCAAUUACCCAAUAAUCUGGUUAACAAUAUUUUUUAAUUGCGCUUUUCAACCCAUUGACUAACCUCGAUAAAAAAAAAUGGCUAAAUUUAUUAAGAGAAAGUAUAAAAUGUGACCAUUUAUCUUUGGUACAAGGUGAGACAUUACUCUUGAUCAUUGGAUGUGAAAUUGGGUGGCUGCCAUCAUUUUAUUGAACAAGCUCAAACUUCAAAAUAAAUUUUUUUGAACUUUUGUGACGCAUCCAAGCUAUCAAACUUCACAUCAUAUGGUUGUAAGUAUUUGUGACCACCUUGUAUCAAAAGUAAAUGGUCUCAUUGUAUACAAUCUUGUUCGUUAAAUAACAAUUGUUUCAUGCAGGCUGGACCGCAUUUGUACAAUAUGUAGUCUAAAGGUAUAAAGCAUCCAUCUUAAAGAUUGUAAAUAGGUGGUCCAUAUAAAAACAACUUAAACUAAAGGUAUAAAGUUUUCUUAAUAGAAUUAUUAUUUCUAGUUUUUUUUUUUUUUUUCAUAUUCAUGAUCUCUAUUUUAAAUAUUAUAUAUUCUCUUAAAAAUAAGAUCGAAUUCUAUUUUAAAAAUAAAUUUAUGAAGGGGCCCAUAUUUCUACAUAUCUCUCCCCACCUUUGUGAUAGACAAAAACAUCCAAAUAGAAUGGAGCAGUGUUUUAAAAAACGUCGAGUCGAACCGGACUCGCCCAGUUCGACUCGAAAAUCGUAAAAAGUGGAUUGUAUCGGCUAAAAAAUCAGAAAUCGUCCGGUUCUAGAGAGAACCGGAUGAUUCUGUACAGUGACUCGCCGAUUCACUGUACGGAAUCGGCGAGUCCAAACAGUGAAUCGGCGAGUCCCGUUUACGGUUUUUUUUUUUUUUUUUAUUUUUUUUUUUUGUUGUAAUCCAUGAAAUAUUUUUUGUAGUACUUGAUCAAUUUUUUGGAAUCCAUGAUCGAAUUGUUUUUGUUUUUUUGUAAUCCAUGAUCGAAUUUUUUGUUUUUUGUAACCCAUGAUAGAAUUUUUUGUAAUCCAUGAUCGAAUUUUUUGUAAUCCAUGANNNNNNNNNNNNNNNNNNNNAAAUGGGAAGUGUUCAUUACAAAUCUGCAAGUAUAAACUCUCCAUAAAUAGAUCACGGUCACAUAAACAACGAGCCAGACCUGAAGCAUUAUACACUACAACAAUCUAGUGACAAUGGCAAUCCAUUCAUCUUUUCUUACUUUAGAGCUUUCACAAAAUGGCAGUCCAGUGACAAAAUAAAAUUCAAGGGCACAAAAGAAAAAACAAGUUAUAGAUUUUCUUGCCAGGCCACAAUGAAAUGAUAGCUACCUAUCUCAUAAUACUUUGAAAAAAAGAAAACUGGUUCUACUUCCAUCAGAUUUAUGAUACCGCACAGCUUAUUAAUUAAACAAUGGUAGGCUGGGAAAUACCAUUGUCUGGGAAGGACCAGAUCUUGCUUGAUUAUUCUGAGCAAUAUUUUUACUCAAGACACUUAGAAAACAUCUCUUUUUUCUUUUGAGAAUUAAACAAUAAAAUCUCACAUCAUCAUCAUCAGAGCCUUUUCCCAACAAUAAAAUCUUACAAGUAACCAAAAAAAUCUAUGAAAUUGCAGCUACAGAUAAAAAUAAUUAUACAUUUAUAGCAAACAACAUUUAUACAUUUAUAGCAAACAACAUUCACAAGCACUGAAACCGCAAAACCAAGGCAAAAAAAAAAACACUAAACGGAAUAAAAGUUAAGUUCAUCAGCACUCACAAUACUUAUCACAGCAAGAAUAGGAAAUGUCCAUAAACAGCAACCUAUAAACUAGAGAAAAUCCACAUAAUGAUAAAAGCUUGAUCUGGAAAAAAAACACAGGCACCAAAUCUACCACAACCACAAGACAAAAAUUCAUCAAAAAACUGGGAAACUAAUUCAAUAACUGUCACUACUUAAUCAAGUCACCAUGGAAGUAUCCCUACAGGAACCACAAAUCCUAAUCAGGCAUAAAAGGAACAAAAUAAAAAUACCAUAAAAUCUAUUUCAAAUUAAAUCACUAAACUGAAAAACAAAAAGGGCAAACCAAGGAAUACAUCAAGUGUAAAACAACACAUAUCCCUAGGAACCAGUCUGCAUCGGAAAAUAUUCAUUUUUAGUAAAUCGACCUAAACCAAAUGAAAUUCCCAGUUCAAGUUAAUAGGAAGCAGUACAUGCCUUAUGUAUUUGAUCUGAUCGUCUAGUAAGCAAAUAAAAGGAACCCAGCCCAUAUAUUGCCAAAUACCAAAAGUGAAAUCAAGAAUCCAUCUCAAAAGAAACCAAAUAUUUCACAUAAGAUCCAAGCAUAUUCAACUGUAACGACACAUAACACCACUAUAUCCGUACCUAUAUAGAAAAAAAGAAUAAACUAGUUCCACCAAAUACUACGUAAAAGCAAGUUAUUUCACAAAAAUCAUCCCAGCUAUCAAAAUUUAUAUCCUCUGGGUAAUUGAGUUCAUAUCCGAUCGAGAUCCCACAAAACGGCCCUCUACUUGUUCACUUCUUCACGAAACCUCUAACAGUGAAAAAAACCAAACAUACUUAAACCAGAUAUUAAAACUUUAAGCUAUACAGUACCACCAAUCACACCAAAAAAACCUAAUUUUAUCAAAGGACCUGCAUUUAUAAACCUUACUCGAAAGCAAAUAAAGAACCGACCAAACAAAAAGUGAUAUAUCAAAAGCCUGUAGCAAGCUAAAGCACAUCGUCGUCCAAAAAAAAAAGCAAAAACAGCGAGAGAUUUCCUAUCGACCGAUCUUUAUAACUAAAUCUCUAGCAAAUAAACCAAGCAAACAACAUAUAUCAAAGCUCGAAGUAAGCAAACUCAUACCACCAAUCACACAUGAAGCCACAAAUAACCUAAAAAUGGAAUUUUUGGAUGAAAUAUAAUUCUCUUGCAAAUAAAUAGAAAAAUCGCAAGAAAACAAAACCAGAUAUUAAAGGUUAUGUGAUCUUAAGAUCAUACCACAAUUACAACAACAAAAAAAUCUAGAUUCCCUAUGAAUGAUCUGAUUAAGAACCAGUAAAACAUUGAAAACAAGUGAAUCAACAAAAUAUGCAGAGAAAGUAAAUCCCCAUGGAUCUUAGAAAUAGGGUUUACCUAAAAUGGCAGAGAGAUACAUCUCAUGCCGCCUCAGAGAGUUACGAAAGAGAAGAAACGUAGAGGACACCCUAUUAUAAACCCUAAUGUUGGCCCUUUGAGAUAGUCCUAGCAAUCUCUAACAUGAAUCCUGGCCAUUGACUGAGGGGGAAAUUCAUUCUGUAAACUGUCUUUGGAGAUGAUAAGCGUGAGGCAACUUGAUCCCCACGCUUGCCCAAAAGGCUGUGUUCGAUAACUUUCUCUGCAGUUUCCCUAGUAUUCUCCCUGCUGCUGACUUUCCUGAAAUCUGGGAGAAAGAGAAAUUUGGUAGCCUGAAGCUAGAACCCUGUUUGAUAAACUGUGGUGCUACUAUUUUAGCCUGUUUGGUAAUGUUGAUGUUGGGAGAGCACGAGACAGCCUGUUUUAACCGUUUAUUAUGAAUUUUCAUGAUUUGAUGUGUGUAAUGUAUAUUUUUGAAUAAUAUUUUCUCGCCACUACCUAUCUAAUGCAUUUCCUAAAAAGUAUGGUUAAGAUUGAAAUUUAAUCUCACAUCUAUAUUAAGAAAUAGCCUCAAUAAAAUUGCAACAAGUAUAAAGAACCAGAAAGGUGGAGUUAAACACACGAUUCUUAAGCCAAGUGAAACUAAAAGUAAGUUCCCAAUCACAAUACUUCUACAAUUUUUAUGUUAUGAGAAAUCAACGAGCAAGAGACAUGAAAAAAAAAAAUAUAGACGAAAUAACCAAAUUGCCAAUGAAUAUUGCAAAGAAAGAAAACUAACAGUUAUAUGAACCAAGAGGGUCAAAAUCAGAGAAGUAUCACAAAUAAUUUCACUACAAGAACAACAUCAAUAAAUUGUAUAGCUAACUAUACUAAUCUCAAAACUCUGAAUGCUUGGUAUACAAGCAUAAUACAGCAUUGCGUGCACCGAUAACUUGUAUUAAUGAAGAGCAAAUUCCAAGAAUGUGAGAAAUCAACAUGCCACAACAUCUAAAGCAAAAAUAAACUAAAACAAACCAAAGCAGGUAAAAUAGUUCAAACUUACAACUUCAAACUGACUAUAUGACAAAUAUCCCAAUUCAAUCUAGAAUGAUGUUGUUUGUGACAUACAUAAUGAAGUAAAAACAGUUACAAAUUUCAAUUUCACGGCUUUCUAUUACCCAGUGAGAGAUAAUGCCAUUACAACAACAGAAUAACAAAAUUAAACCCCAGACCUUGGCAAAAGUAACCGGAAAAACCUAAAUUUCAACCCAAUGAGUACAAAAACCAAUGAGUACAAAAACCAAAUGAGUACAAAAACCAAAUAACAGAAAACCCCAUAAAUUAUAUAACCAAAUGACAAUAGAAUAGAACCCAGUUUUAUAGAUAUCAAAUCCUAUUGCAUAAUACAACCUCCUAAAUAAGCGUUCAUCAAUAAAUAAAAAUAAAAACAGUAAAAGAAUACUUAGAUUAUUAACUCAUAAAACCAACUGAAAAUUAGUUCAAUGACGCACCACAAAAACAAAACCAACAACGAUAGCAACAAUGAUCAAUUAAUCAAACACCUUAAGCCCAAAAAAAUUUAUAUAAUAGACACAAAAUCAAAUUAAUCAAACUCUAGAGCCCAAAUUGUACUUCUCAAUAAACAGAAAACCCACAUCAAAAUUGAUGUAACAAACUAGAAAAACAAAACAUGGGGCUUUUCUUAUUUGCGCAUAACCAGGAAAAAAAAUAGAAACAAAAAUCCAAUAAAAAGCUCUCUGUAGACUUGGGGUUAAUCUUGUUUGACCUUAAUCAGAUAAAAAAAAAGAACCUAAAUCAGAAAUAAAAUCUCAUUUAGAAAUGGGAUUAUCUUUUUUGAGUUCUAAAAAAUUAAAAUAAAUUACAAUGGCACACCGUACCUUUGUCUGAGAGAUUAGCUUGCAGCAAUGGCCAUAUGAGGGGAGUAGACCUGACCUGACGUGAGGUGACGUGAGGCGAGGCGAGGCGAGGCGAGGCGAGGACGACUGGAGUUGCUGGAGGGCUGGGAACUUCGUUGGGGCGUGUGGCGACGGAACUUGUUC